rnacentral:rRNA from 1 species
UUGGCCUUGACAUACUAAGAACUUUCCAGAGAUGGAUUGGUGCCUUCGGGAACUUAGAUACAGGUGCUGCAUGGCUGUCGUCAGCUCGUGUCGUGAGAUGUUGGGUUAAGUCCGCAACGAGCGCAACCCUUUUCCUUAUUUGCCAGCGGGUAAUGCCGGGAACUUUAAGGAUACUGCCAGUGACAAACUGGAGGAAGGCGGGGACGACGUCAAGUCAUCAUGGCCCUUACGGCCAGGGCUACACACGUGCUACAAUGGUCGGUACAGAGGGUUGCUACCUCGCGAGAGGAUGCUAAUCUCAAAAAGCCGAUCGUAGUCCGGAUCGCAGUCUGCAACUCGACUGCGUGAAGUCGGAAUCGCUAGUAAUCGCGGAUCAGAAUGCCGCGGUGAAUACGUUCCCGGGCCUUGUACACACCGCCCGUCACACCAGGGGAGUUUGUUGCACCAGAAGUAGGUAGUCUAACCGCAAGGAGGACGCUUACCACGGUGUGGCCGAUGACUGGGGUGAAGUCGUAACAAGGUAAGCGUAGAUGA